GACCUAGUGGUGAAAGGGAUCACACCUGUUCACACUUACAAUGACCGUAUGUGUUGAAUAAAGGCAGGAGAUCCUGGUUCGAGUCCAGGCUAGGUCC